CAGUAGCCGCGGUAAUACGUAGGGUGCGAGCGUUAAUCAGAAUUACUGGGCGUAAAGCGUGCGUAGGCGGUGAGUUAAGUCUGCUGUGAAAUCCCCGGGCUCAACCUGGGAAUGGCAGUGGAUACUGGCUCGCUAGAGUGUGUCAGAGGAUGGUGGAAUUCCCGGUGUAGCGGUGAAAUGCGUAGAGAUCGGGAGGAACAUCAGUGGCGAAGGCGGCCAUCUGGGACAACACUGACGCUGAGGCACGAAAGCGUGGGGAGCAAACAGGAUUAGAUACCCGCGUAGUCCCUGUCUCUUAUAC
rnacentral:rRNA from 1 species